rnacentral:rRNA from 1 species
UACGUAGGGUGCGAGCGUUGCCCGGAUUUAUUGGGCGUAAAGGGCGCGUAGGCGGCCACGCACGUCCGUUGUGAAAUCGCCCGGCUCAACUGGGCGGGGUCGGCGGAUACGGCGUGGCUGGAGCAAGCUAGGGGGCAAUGGAAUUCCCGGUGUAGUGGUGGAAUGCGUAGAUAUCGGGAGGAACACCAGUGGCGAAGGCGGUUGCCUGGAGCUUUGCUGACGCUGAGGCGCGAAAGCGUGGGUAGCAAACAGG